rnacentral:rRNA from 1 species
AGCAGCAGCCGCGGGAAUACGAAGGGGGCUAGCGUUGUUCGGAUUAACUGGGCGCAAAGGGCGCGUAGGCGGGUUUUUAAGUCAGAGGUGAAAUCCCAAGGCUCAACCUUGGAACUGCCUUUGAUACUGGAAGUCUUGAGUCCGGGAGAGGUGAGUGGAACUGCGAGUGUAGAGGUGAAAUUCGUAGAUAUUCGCAAGAACACCAGUGGCGAAGGCGGCUCACUGGCCCGGUACUGACGCUGAGGCGCGAAAGCGUGGGGAGCAAACAGGAUUAGAUACCCCCGUAGUCCCUGUCUCUUAUAC